CGGGAAGAAAGCUUGCUUUCUUUGCUGGCGACCGGCGCACGGGUGAGUAACACGUAUCCAACCUGCCCUUUACUCGGGGAUAGCCUUUCGAAAGAAAGAUUAAUACCCGAUAGUAUAAUGAUUCCGCAUGGUUUCAUUAUUAAAGGAUUCCGGUAAAGGAUGGGGAUGCGUUCCAUUAGGUUGUUGGCGGGGUAACGGCCCACCAAGCCUUCGAUGGAUAGGGGUUCUGAGAGGAAGGUCCCCCACAUUGGAACUGAGACACGGUCCAAACUCCUACGGGAGGCAGCAUG
rnacentral:rRNA from 1 species